rnacentral:rRNA from 1 species
GGGUUGUGAGGUUAAGCGACUAAGCGUACACGGUGGAUGCCCUGGCAGUCAGAGGCGAUGAAGGACGUGCUAAUCUGCGAAAAGCGUCGGUAAGGUGAUAUGAACCGUUAUAGCCGGCGAUGUCCGAAUGGGGAAACCCAGUGUGAUUCGUCACACUAUCGUUAACUGAAUACAUAGGUUAACGAGGCGAACCGGGGGAACUGAAACAUCUAAGUACCCCGAGGAAAAGAAAUCAACCGAGAUUCCCCCAGUAGCGGCGAGCGAACGGGGAGCAGCCCAGAGUCUGAAUCAGCUUGUGUGUUAGUGGAACGGUCUGGAAAGUCCGACGGUACAGGGUGAUAGUCCCGUACACCAAAAUGCACAGGUUGUGAACUCGAAGAGUAGGGCGGGACACGUGGUAUCCUGUCUGAAUAUGGGGGGACCAUCCUCCAAGGCUAAAUACUCCUGACUGACCGAUAGUGAACCAGUACCGUGAGGGAAAGGCGAAAAGAACCCCGGCGAGGGGAGUGAAAAAGAACCUGAAACCGUGUACGUACAAGCAGUGGGAGCACCUUCGGGUGUGACUGCGUACCUUUUGUAUAAUGGGUCAGCGACUUAUAUUCUGUAGCAAGGUUAACCGUAUAGGGGAGCCGCAGGGAAACCGAGUCUUAACUGGGCGUUAAGUUGCAGGGUAUAGACCCGAAACCCGGUGAUCUAGCCAUGGGCAGGUUGAAGGUUGGGUAACACUAACUGGAGGACCGAACCGACUAAUGUUGAAAAAUUAGCGGAUGACUUGUGGCUGGGGGUGAAAGGCCAAUCAAACCGGGAGAUAGCUGGUUCUCCCCGAAAGCUAUUUAGGUAGCGCCUCGUGAACUCAUCUUCGGGGGUAGAGCACUGUUUCGGCUAGGGGGUCAUCCCGACUUACCAACCCGAUGCAAACUACGAAUACCGAAGAAUGUUAUCACGGGAGACACACGGCGGGUGCUAACGUCCGUCGUGAAGAGGGAAACAACCCAGACCGCCAGCUAAGGUCCCAAAGUCAUGGUUAAGUGGGAAACGAUGUGGGAAGGCACAGACAGCCAGGAUGUUGGCUUAGAAGCAGCCAUCAUUUAAAGAAAGCGUAAUAGCUCACUGGUCGAGUCGGCCUGCGCGGAAGAUGUAACGGGGCUAAACCAUGCACCGAAGCUGCGGCAGCGACACUAUGUGUUGUUGGGUAGGGGAGCGUUCUGUAAGCCUGCGAAGGUGACCUGUGAGGGUUGCUGGAGGUAUCAGAAGUGCGAAUGCUGACAUAAGUAACGAUAAAGCGGGUGAAAAGCCCGCUCGCCGGAAGACCAAGGGUUCCUGUCCAACGUUAAUCGGGGCAGGGUGAGUCGACCCCUAAGGCGAGGCCGAAAGGCGUAGUCGAUGGGAAACAGGUUAAUAUUCCUGUACUUGGUGUUACUGCGAAGGGGGGACGGAGAAGGCUAUGUUAGCCGGGCGACGGUUGUCCCGGUUUAAGCAUGUAGGCUGAUUGUCCAGGCAAAUCCGGAUAAUCAAGGCUGAGGUGUGAUGACGAGGCACUACGGUGCUGAAGUAACAAAUGCCCUGCUUCCAGGAAAAGCCUCUAAGCAUCAGGUAACAUUAAAUCGUACCCCAAACCGACACAGGUGGUCAGGUAGAGAAUACCAAGGCGCUUGAGAGAACUCGGGUGAAGGAACUAGGCAAAAUGGUGCCGUAACUUCGGGAGAAGGCACGCUGGUGUGUAGGUGAAGUCCCUGCGGAUGGAGCUGAGACCAGUCGAAGAUACCAGCUGGCUGCAACUGUUUAUUAAAAACACAGCACUGUGCAAACACGAAAGUGGACGUAUACGGUGUGACGCCUGCCCGGUGCCGGAAGGUUAAUUGAUGGGGUUAUCCGUAAGGAGAAGCUCUUGAUCGAAGCCCCGGUAAACGGCGGCCGUAACUAUAACGGUCCUAAGGUAGCGAAAUUCCUUGUCGGGUAAGUUCCGACCUGCACGAAUGGCGUAAUGAUGGCCAGGCUGUCUCCACCCGAGACUCAGUGAAAUUGAACUCGCUGUGAAGAUGCAGUGUACCCGCGGCAAGACGGAAAGACCCCGUGAACCUUUACUAUAGCUUGACACUGAACAUUGAGCCUUGAUGUGUAGGAUAGGUGGGAGGCUUUGAAGCGUGGACGCCAGUCUGCGUGGAGCCAACCUUGAAAUACCACCCUUUAAUGUUUGAUGUUCUAACGUUGGCCCCUGACCGGGGUUGCGGACAGUGUCUGGUGGGUAGUUUGACUGGGGCGGUCUCCUCCCAAAGCGUAACGGAGGAGCACGAAGGUUAGCUAAUCCUGGUCGGACAUCAGGAGGUUAGUGCAAUGGCAUAAGCUAGCUUGACUGCGAGCGUGACGGCGCGAGCAGGUGCGAAAGCAGGUCAUAGUGAUCCGGUGGUUCUGAAUGGAAGGGCCAUCGCUCAACGGAUAAAAGGUACUCCGGGGAUAACAGGCUGAUACCGCCCAAGAGUUCAUAUCGACGGCGGUGUUUGGCACCUCGAUGUCGGCUCAUCACAUCCUGGGGCUGAAGUAGGUCCCAAGGGUAUGGCUGUUCGCCAUUUAAAGUGGUACGCGAGCUGGGUUUAGAACGUCGUGAGACAGUUCGGUCCCUAUCUGCCGUGGGCGCUGGAGAAUUGAGGGGGGCUGCUCCUAGUACGAGAGGACCGGAGUGGACGCAUCACUGGUGUUCGGGUUGUCAUGCCAAUGGCACUGCCCGGUAGCUAAAUGCGGAAGAGAUAAGUGCUGAAAGCAUCUAAGCACGAAACUUGCCCCGAGAUGAGUUCUCCCUGAGACUAUAAGUCUCCUGAAGGAACGUUAAAGACGAUGACGUUGAUAGGCCGGGUGUGUAAGCGCAGCGAUGCGUUGAGCUAACCGGUACUAAUGAACCGUGAGGCUUAACCUUACAACGCCGAAG